rnacentral:rRNA from 1 species
UACAGAGGGGGCAAGCGUUAUUCGGAAUUAUUGGGCGUAAAGGGCGCGUAGGCGGCCUGGCAAGUGGAAGGUGAAAUCCCUCGGCUUAACCAAGGAACUGCCCUCCAAACUGCUUGGCUUGAGACCGGGAGAGGUGAGUGGAAUUCCCAGUGUAGCGGUGAAAUGCGUAGAUAUUGGGAGGAACACCAGUGGCGAAGGCGGCUCACUGGACCGGUACUGACGCUGAUGCGCGAAAGCGUGGGGAGCAAACAGG